CGUAGGUGAACCUGCGGAAGGAUCAUUGUAUCAAUCGAAUCCACUCUGGUAACCAACCGUCACCCUCGGCGGCGAGGCGUCCUUCGGGGCGCCCCGCCCUCGGGCGCCGGUCCCCCGGCUGGGGUCCCUCGGGACCGCAGUUGGGUCCGGCGGGUGCCUCCCCACUCCCCGUGGGGCUGGCAUCGGUAAUUCAUAUCCAACUCAACACACCCCAAACCUCAACCUCCUCUGAAGCAACCGUGGCAGCCGGCUCCGCCGCCUGUCCACUCAAACCAAAGACAACUCUCAACAACGGAUAUCUUGGCUCCCGUAUCGAUGAAGAACGCAGCGAAAUGCGAUACGUAGUGUGAAUUGCAGAAUUCCGUGAACCAUCGAAUCUUUGAACGCAAAUUGCGCCCGAGGCUUCGGCCGAGGGCAUGUCUGCCUCAGCGUCGGUAUACCCCCUCGCCCUCUCCUCCCCCUGUGGGAUCAGAGGCGCGGACCUGGCCCUCCCGGCUCCGCCUCCCUUCGGGGCGGCGUCCGGGUGGGCUGAAGCACAGAGGCUUGAGCAUGGACCCCGUUUGCAGGGCAAUGGCUUGGUAGGUAGGCACCCCCUACGCAGCCUGCCGUUGCCCGAGGGGACUUUGCUGGCGGCCCAGCAGGAAUUCGGGUCGGCGUCCUGCGCCGGCUCGAACACUCUUACCUUCGACCUGAGCUCAGGCAAGACUACCCGCUGAACUUAAGCAUAUCAAUAAGCGGAGG
rnacentral:rRNA from 1 species